CCUACGGGGGGCAGCAGUAGGGAAUAUUGCUCAAUGGGGGAAACCCUGAAGCAGCAACGCCGCGUGGAGGAUGAAGGUUUUCGGAUUGUAAACUCCUUUUGUUAGAGAAGAGAAUGACGGUAUCUAACGAAUAAGCACCGGCUAACUCCGUGCCAGCAGCCGCGGUAAUACGGAGGGUGCAAGCGUUACUCGGAAUCACUGGGCGUAACGAGAGCGUAGGCGGGAUAGCAAGUCAGAUGUGAAAUCCUAUGGCUUAACCAUAGACCUGCAUUUGAAACUGUUAUUCUAGAGUAUGGGAGCGGUCGGUCGCCUUCUUGGUGUCGGGGUCACCUCCGUAGAGAUCCAG
rnacentral:rRNA from 1 species